ACGGCACUCGCCAGGACCUUCACUCCCUUCCUGAAAAAAUAUCAGACAGAUGAGCCUGUGCUUCCAUUCCUUCCGAAGGACCUGACUGAGUUGAUGAUGAGUCUACUCAGACGCUUCAUAAAGAGAGAAGUCCUCCAUGAUAUCACUGCCCUGCAGCUGACCAAAUUGGAUGUCACAGACAAGACCAUCUGGCUCAGCCCACAAGACAUCAGCAUUGGUCUAGGUGCAGGGUCAGUCCUUAAGGGGAUGUCAUACUGCAGCACUUCGACAGUUUCCUAUCCUUGGAGAGCCGGAGUGAGGACUUCCUCUCCUUUCUUC